UGGGGAAUUUUGGACAAUGGGCGAAAGCCUGAUCCAGCAAUGCCGCGUGUGUGAAGAAGGCCUUCGGGUUGUAAAGCACUUUUGUCCGGAAAGAAAUCCUUGGCUCUAAUACAGUCGGGGGAUGACGGUACCGGAAGAAUAAGCACCGGCUAACUACGUGCCAGCAGCCGCGGUAAUACGUAGGGUGCAAGCGUUAAUCGGAAUUACUGGGCGUAAAGCGUGCGCAGGCGGUUUGCUAAGACCGAUGUGAAAUCCCCGGGCUCAACCUGGGAACUACAUUGGUGACUGGCAGGCUAGAGUAUGGCAGAGGGGGGUAGAAUUCCACGUGUAGCAGUGAAAUGCGUAGAGAUGUGGAGGAAUACCGAUGGCGAAGGCAGCCCCCUGGGCCAAUACUGACGCUCAUGCACGAAAGCGUGGGGAGCAAACAGGAUUAGAUACCCUGGUAGUCCACGCCCUAAACGAUGUCAACUAGUUGUUGGGGAUUCAUUUCCUUAGUAACGUAGCUAACGCGUGAAGUUGACCGCCUGGGGAGUACGGUCGCAAGAUUAAAACUCAAAUGAAUUGACGGGGUCAUAGCUGUUUCCU
rnacentral:rRNA from 1 species